rnacentral:rRNA from 1 species
GUCGAGAAUCUUUCACAAUGGGGGCAACCCUGAUGGAGCGACGCCGCGUGGAGGAUAAGGUCUUCGGAUUGUAAACUCCUGUCAUGCGUGAACAAGGUUGCUUGGAUAAUACCUGAGCAAAUUGAUGGUAGCGCAAGAGGAAGAGACGGCUAACUCUGUGCCAGCAGCCGCGGUAAUACAGAGGUCUCAAGCGUUGUUCGGAAUCACUGGGCGUAAAGGGUGCGUAGGUGGCGUGGCAAGUAAGAUGUGAAAGCCCGGGGCUCAACCUCGGAACUGCAUCCGAUACUGCCAUGCUAGAGUACUGGAGGGGUGACUAGAAUUCUCGGUGUAGCAGUGAAAUGCGUAGAUAUCGAGAGGAAUACCAAAGGCGUAGGCAGGUCACUGGACAGUUACUGACACUGAGGCACGAAGGCCAGGGGAGCGAACGGGAUUAGAAACCCCAGUAGUCC